rnacentral:misc_RNA from 1 species
UACGUAGGUGGCGAGCGUUGUCCGGAAUCAUUGGGCGUAAAGAGCUCGUAGGCGGCUCAGUAAGUCGGCUGUGAAAGUCCGGGGCUCAACCCCGGAAUUGCAGUCGAUACUGCUGUGGCUAGAGUCCGGUAGAGGAGAGUGGAAUUCCCGGUGUAGCGGUGGAAUGCGCAGAUAUCGGGAGGAACACCAGUAGCGAAGGCGGCUCUCUGGGCCGGUACUGACGCUGAGGAGCGAAAGCGUGGGGAGCAAACAGG